rnacentral:rRNA from 1 species
AUAUCAAUAAGCGGAGGAAAAGAAACCAACAGGGAUUGCCUCAGUAGCGGCGAGUGAAGCGGCAACAGCUCAAAUUUGAAAUCUGGCUCCCUUGGGGGUCCGAGUUGUAAUUUGUAGAGGAUGCUUCGGGCAAGGCUGCGGUCUAAUUUGCUUGGAACAGCGAGUCACAGAGGGUGAGAGUCCCGUCUAGGAUCGUGCGCCGCGUCCAUGUGAAGCUCCUUCGACGAGUCGAGUUGUUUGGGAAUGCAGCUCUAAAUGGGUGGUAAAUUUCAUCUAAAGCUAAAUAUUGGCCAGAGACCGAUAGCGCACAAGUAGAGUGAUCGAAAGAUGAAAAGCACUUUGAAAAGAGAGUUAAACAGUAUGUGAAAUUGUUGAAAGGGAAGCGCUUGCAACCAGACUUGCGUGUGACGGUUCCCCCCACCUCCUGGUGGGGCUACUCCGUCAUCUCCAGGCCAGCAUCGGUUUGGGUGGUCGGUCAAAGAUCUCGGGAAUGUAUCUUCCUCCGGGUCGACUUAUAGCCCGAGGUGCAAUGCGACCCACCCGGACCGAGGAACGCGCUUCGGCCCGGAUGCUGGCGUAAUGGUUGUAAGCGGCCCGUCUUGAAACACGGACCAAGGAGUCUAACAUCUAUGCGAGUGUUUGGGUGUUAAACCCCUACGCGUAAUGAAAGUGAACGGAGGUAAGAACCCCGUUCGGGGCGCAUUAUCGACCGAUCCUGAUGUCUUCGGAUGGAUUUGAGUAAGAGCAUAGCUGUUGGGACCCGAAAGGUACGUUGCUCUUUUUUUUUCGCCUCCACCUCCGGCGGUAAAUACGUAUGCUAACUUGUGCUUAUUAACAGAUGGUGAACUAUGCCUGAAUAGGGUGAAGCCAGAGGAAACUCUGGUGGAGGCUCGCAGCGGUUCUGACGUGCAAAUCGAUCGUCAAAUUUGGGCAUAGGGGCGAAAGUAAGCUUACUCUUCUCUACCCUCCUGAGCAGAGUUAGAUUUGAUGCUAAUCGUUGUUUUAAAUAGGACCAAUCGAACCAUCCGCAUGGCGUCUUGUGAAGAGGCAGAUGCGUGUCUUUAAGCGUUGCCAGGUGGUUAAUUUCCUGACUUGUAGUUGGGCCAGUCUGAUACUUGAUAUUGGGCGACGUCGUCAGUCUUCGGGGAUGUUCUUAUGGCUAUCCGAAGCCGUCCUUAUGUUGGGACGGUUCACAGACUAGACAGCGACGGCCGGAGCCUUUUAACCGGGGACGGUGAUUAUAUAGUCGAGUAAAGUUAUUGGAUCUUGCGAGUAUUCUCAUCAGAAUACUCGGUAGACCGCACGUGCCUAUGUACGCCUCACUAGGCCUUUAGGCUUCUUUGAGGUUGGUCUUGAGAGAAUUCUGUAGCUUUUAAACGCUGGUAGCUGGUUCCUGUCGAAGUUUCCCUCAGGAUAGCAGUAACGUUUUCAGUUUUAUGAGGUAAAGCGAAUGAUUAGAGGCCUUGGGGUUGAAACAACCUUAACCUAUUCUCAAACUUUAAAUAUGUAAGAAGUCCUUGUUUCUUGAUUGAACGUGGACAUUUGAAUGUAUCGUUACUAGUGGGCCAUUUUUGGUAAGCAGAACUGGCGAUGCGGGAUGAACCGAACGUGAGGUUAAGGUGCCGGAAUGUACGCUCAUCAGACACCACAAAAGGUGUCAAUGCAUCCAGACAGCCGGACGGUGGCCAUGGAAGUCGGAAUCCGCUUAGGAGUGUGUAACAACUCACCGGCCGAAUGCAUUGGCCCUGAAAAUGGAUGGCGCUUAAGCGUGCUACCUAUACCUCGCCGUUGGGGUUGAAAUGAUGCCCCAACGAGUAGGCAGGCGUGGGGGUUUGUGACGAAGCCUUUGGGGUGACCCCGGGUCGAACAACCUCUAGUG